GAUGAACGCUAGCGACAGGCUUAACACAUGCAAGUCGAGGGGCAGCGGGGGUGAUGGCUUGCCAUCGCCUGCCGGCGACCGGCGCACGGGUGAGUAACACGUAUGCAACCUGCCCGCCACAGGGGGAUAAGCGGAAGAAAUUCCGUCUAAUACCGCGUGACGCGGCACCGGGGCAUCCCGGUGCCGCCAAAGGGAUUACCGGUGGCGGAUGGGCAUGCGGCGCAGUAGCUAGUCGGCGGGGUAACGGCCCACCGAGGCGACGAUGCGUAGGGGUUCUGAGAGGAAGGUCCCCCACACUGGUACUGAGACACGGACCAG
rnacentral:rRNA from 1 species